UACAGAGGGGGCAAGCGUUGUUCGGAAUUACUGGGCGUAAAGGGCGCGUAGGCGGCCUGUUAAGUCGAACGUGAAAUCCCCAGGCUCAACCUGGGAACUGCGUCCGAUACUGGCAGGCUUGAAUCCGGGAGAGGGAUGCGGAAUUCCAGGUGUAGCGGUGAAAUGCGUAGAUAUCUGGAGGAACACCGGUGGCGAAGGCGGCAUCCUGGACCGGUAUUGACGCUGAGGCGCGAAAGCCAGGGGAGCAAACGGG
rnacentral:rRNA from 1 species